rnacentral:lncRNA from 1 species
UCCAUUUAAUGUUUUAUCUCAAAGAAUUAUCCCGAAAGUAUCUACGAUUGACCAACCGCGAAUAUUACCGAUAACUUAUCGACAUAUUACCGACCGAUAAGUGGACCGUCGGUAAGGUCGGUAAAGUCGGUAAAAAAACAAUAGAAAUAUUAUCUCGAAGAUGGCGCCACGCGGAUUCAAGACAAAAGAGUUGAUCUCUGAAUUACCGACGGAGUGCCGGUGUGUUCUCUCUCCCACUCUCUUUCUUUCUCUUACGCGCGAGUUUCCCUUGCACUUUAUACCGUUCCGUAAAUAGCCGAAGAAAGGAACGUUCUCUCCCGGCCGAAGAUAACGACGCGCACGUCCUCCGAAAUGUCCGUGGCAACGCUCGCCGUAGUUGCGAGUACCGGCUUUUUUUUCGAUUAAAAACGUUGUCAACGUUACGUUGCAAUUAACUGUCGUCAUUAUCGUUACGAGUUUCAUUUUACCGCGUUGGUGUUGAAAAUCUAAUACGAAUAUAACAAAAAACAAAGUACAAGAAUUACACACACGUACGCAUACACGUACACACGCUCUUUCUCUUAAAUAGAGACACACGCAUAAAACGCAACACAACAUAAAAACAGAUAUAAAUGUACACAAAGAAAAAUUUGUCCCGAGUUGUCGUCGUCGUCGUCGUCGCCGUAAAUUGAGGGUGCAACGCGCGUACGCGUUCGUGUUUGCGUCCGUGCGUGCGUACGUGCGUGCGUGCGUGCAUGCGGCGAGCGUGCGUGUCGCGUCGUGCUUUGUGUGUGAAAGUAGUGGUGUGGUGGGUACGGGGGAGCGCGCGCGCGCGCGCUCGCUCGUCGCCGCGCACACGUACUGACACGCACACAUGCACGUAAAAUUACAUGUAUGAACUAACACGCACGCGUAAAGUACAUUUUCGUACGUCGAGAUGUAUAGACGAGGUGUGUGUAGUAAAAAAUUGUGCGUGUCGCGUGUGUGCAUAGAGUUACUAGUAUAUCGUCGUCGGUAUCACUAUUACUACUUUGAGUAAAGUGAUGUGCGUAUAUAUUAUAUAUAUAUACACAAAACUCUCUUUCUAUCAUCUAUCUCUCUCGCUCUUCCUGUCUCACUUACGAUGGGUCAGAGAGGUUAGGUUCCUGUGCUCGGCGAAGAGUAGUUAAAAGCACGGGGACAGGUGCCGGCGACGUUCGAUUGUCUUCUUCUUCUUCUACCAUACCAUCAGUACUACUACUACUACUUCUGACUCUCCUACGUUUAAAUAUCGAGUGUUAAAAGGACAGGGAGAGAGAAUUAAAAAAAUAAAAAAAAAAGGGGGAGAAAGAAAAGUAAAGAAAA